GAGCUCAUGUCCGGCGCCCCGGUUAGCGAUCAUUAGAGUUGGAUCCUGGCUCAGAACGAACGCUGGCGGCAGGCUUAACACAUGCAAGUCGAGCGCCCCGCAAGGGGAGCGGCAGACGGGUGAGUAACGCGUGGGAAUCUACCCAAUCCUUCGGAAUAGCUCCGGGAAACUGGAAUUAAUACCGAGUACGCCCUACGGGGGAAAGAUUUAUCGGGGUUGGAUGAGCCCGCGUUGGAUUAGCUAGUUGGUGGGGUAAUGGCCUACCAAGGCGACGAUCCAUAGCUGGUCUGAGAGGAUGAUCAGCCACACUGGGACUGAGACACGGCCCAGACUCCUACGGGAGGCAGCAGUGGGGAAUAUUGGACAAUGGGCGCAAGCCUGAUCCAGCCAUGCCGCGUGAGUGAUGAAGGCCCUAGGGUUGUAAAGCUCUUUCAGUGGGGAAGAUAAUGACGGUACCCACAGAAGAAGCCCCGGCUAACUUCGUGCCAGCAGCCGCGGUAAUACGAAGGGGGCUAGCGUUGUUCGGAUUUACUGGGCGUAAAGCGCACGUAGGCGGAUAGUUCAAGUGAGCGGGUGAAAUCCCAGGGCUCAACCCUGGAACUGCCUUUCAUACUGGCUAUCUAGAGUCCGGAAGAGGUANGUGGAACUCCUAGUGUAGAGGUGGAAUUCGUAGAUUUAGGAAGAACACCAGUGGCCGAAGGCGGCUUA
rnacentral:rRNA from 1 species